UACGUAGGGGGCAAGCGUUGUCCGGAAUCAUUGGGCGUAAAGCGCGCGUAGGCGGCCCGGUAAGUCCGUUGUAAAAGUCGAAGGCUCAACCUUCGAAAGCCGAUGGAUACUGCCGGGCUAGAGUCCGGAAGAGGCGAGUGGAAUUCCUGGUGUAGCGGUGAAAUGCGCAGAUAUCAGGAGGAACACCGGUGGCGAAGGCGGAUCUCUGGGCCUUACCUGACGCUCAGGCGCGAAAGCUAGGGGAGCGAACAGG
rnacentral:rRNA from 1 species